rnacentral:rRNA from 1 species
CCUACGGGAGGCAGCAGUGGGGAAUCUUGCGCAAUGGGCGAAAGCCUGACGCAGCCAUGCCGCGUGAAUGAUGAAGGUCUUAGGAUUGUAAAAUUCUUUCACCGGGGACGAUAAUGACGGUACCCGGAGAAGAAGCCCCGGCUAACUUCGUGCCAGCAGCCGCGGUAAUACGAAGGGGGCUAGCGUUGCUCGGAAUUACUGGGCGUAAAGGGAGCGUAGGCGGAUAGUUUAGUCAGAGGUGAAAGCCCAGGGCUCAACCUUGGAAUUGCCCUUGAUACUGGCUAUCUUGAGUACGGAAGAGGUAUGUGGAACUCCGAGUGUAGAGGUGAAAUUCGUAGAUAUUCGGAAGAACACCAGUGGCGAAGGCGACAUACUGGUCCGUUACUGACGCUGAGGCUCGAAAGCGUGGGGAGCAAACAGGAUUAGAUACCCUGGUAGUCCACGCUGUAAACGAUGAGUGCUAGUUGUCGGCAUGCAUGCAUGUCGGUGACGCAGCUACGACAUAAGUACACUCCGCCGUCGGGAGGUACGGUCGCGAAGAAGUUAAACUAACGAAAGAAGUAGACGCGUGAGACGUCGCCGACGGACGACGACGAGGGAGAGG